AAUUAUUUGAUAUAUGCAGAAGAUGUUGUAAAUUUAUAGAUUUAAAUAGCUUACAAAGAUGCCGCAGGCCCCAUCAGUUAAUUUCCUUAAUUUAUGGAUUUUGAGCUGCUCCUGGAACAGAAAGAGGCCCUGGAAGUAGGUCAGGGAUCUGUGCUUUGUUUCGUGUUCAAUAUGGGUGAAUAUAUACAUAUAAAUUAAUACUUGAAAGAUCGGUAUAAGCGAAACUGUUUUAGGAAGCCACAUGGCAAUGUGAUUAGUAUGGGUAUUCAUGAUUUAACAUUUAUUUUCCCACUAGAUGAAGUUUCUAAGAUUUGCAAGGUACAUGUCAAGGACGGGUGUAUAAAUGGAUUUUUAUUUAUUCACAACUCCAAGACUAAUUGCUUCUCUUUGCCUCAAGGCCAUGAGAUUGGUUUUAAUAUGACACUUCAAAAGUGUUCAUGGAACUACAGAGAUACUAAGUGUCAUUGUUUAAGAGACAAAUCUCACCAUGGUACUGAUGACCCUGAAAAUACUUUGUAAAAAAUUAAAACAUCGAUUCUUUUAGUAAUUAGAGCUAAUUACAAAUUAAUCCCCCACACCCUGGCAAUCUCAUUUUCUUCUUCCUAGGGA
rnacentral:lncRNA from 1 species